CAGAUCUGUGCGUCCGCUCUGUCUCCUGAGAUCCUAUGAGUCACCAUUCUCCCCCAUGGCCUCUAUUGUGCUGAAGGAGACCUCCCUCCCACACUUUCUGAGCUGUGACACGGGGAGGGUCCUGGGAUCAAGCCCCCAAGCAUCCACCCCGCUGCAGUGUCCUUGACCAACACACUGAAUUCCUACCAGCCGCAGGGAGGCUGUUCUGCAUUCGACCCCGACCUUUGAUGUCUGCGUGGAGUAGCAGCUGGGAAAAGAGGUUUUUCCUAUGGGAGUCAUAUUACAUUGUUACAUGCACAGUAAGCCCUAAAGUGGCUUAUAGCAGGUUAGACGGGUUACAGCAGCAUUUGGUCAGCUGGCGAAUUGUGAGUGUUUUUUUUUCUCUUCAGCUCAUUGCUUUAUUUCCUGUCAUGUGGCUGAUGUAUGAGUGCAGAGGACAGAUGGCUGUACAAGUGGUGUGCUCUUUUCCUGGUCUGUUAAAAUAAAAUCAAGAAACAAUCUGUGAGGCCACAGAAUAACCGUCAA